CCAUCAACCCAAACCCCAGUUUCUUUUAGUCCCCGGAAAAGAAACUGUCUCCAAGUGUCACUUUCUAUACAUGAGUGCUAGUUCCAACAAGAAGAAUGAGCUUGUCGCCACUUUAAAGGUAAAUAUCACUUCAAAAACUCUUGCAGGCAUUUCAUCGUGCAAGGCUUUCUAAAACCUAACUUGUGUUUGCUACGUGGAUCUUUCAGAAAAUUGUCACCUACAUUUCAUCCUAAAAUCUUAACCACGGGUGACACAGUUUCACCAAAGUUCCAUAAAGUUUUGGGGACCACCUUGAAGUGUCACCUGGACUGUGCAUCGUCUAUCUGUUCAUUUGUUAGAAUUUCUUGAGCUCCUUCUGCGUGUCCUGCAUAGUGGUCGGGCCUGGGGUUAAGCAAAUUGCCAGCUCUGUGAUCCUCAGCUGAGGGCCUGGGAGACAGGCUGAAAAUAAGUUCAUAUUCAGAGGCUGUGGUCACGCUGUGCAUUAGGAAGCCAACGCAAGCAGGACAGGUGCACUCUGAACGCUGGGGUGAGUUUCUUCAACUACGGAGGCCUCUGAGAGAGGGCACCGGGGUGUCCCCUGAAAAAGUCAGGACCGUCCUCCUUUGCCAGCAAGAAGGUAUAACUACCUCUUCUCUGCUGUUUGGACAUGGAUGUUCCCCUCUGUACUGCUUAGAGAGUUAGAGAAGUGUGAACAGCAUGGACAACCAUCCUAGUUUGACUAGGACUAUCCUGAUUUGAUCUCAAAAAGAUCCAUGUUCCAUCACAAUGUCUUGGAGAGCCCUAGUGCCUGGACAACUGGAAAGGAGAUAUUUUUCAGAGUUUGGACACGGAGAUAGAUAUACCCCGUUCCUUGGUGCUGGCAAUAUGAAUGCUGCCAUGACCAAAAUCUGACUAUAAAGAAACCUCUUUCUGACAUUUGAAUACUGACAGCUGACCUGGCCCUGCACCAGAACUAGCCGACCCCAGCAACAACAGAAGCUAAAACCAGUCUCAUGACUUGCUACUGCUAUCUGGGCCAACUUUUUCUGCUUGGAUAUCACCAGAAAAUCCCAUUAAAUCUUAACACAUCCUCCUG